CCCUUAGAUGUCCGGGGCCGCACGCGCGCUACACUGAAGGAAUCAGCGUGGCUUUCUCCCUGACCCGAAAGGGUUGGGAAACCCGUUGAAUCUCCUUCGUGAUAGGGAUUGGGGCUUGAAAUUGUUCCCCAUGAACGAGGAAUUCCCAGUAAGCGCGAGUCAUAAGCUCGCGUUGAUUACGUCCCUGCCCUUUGUACACACCGCCCGUCGCUACUACCGAUUGAACGGUUUAGUGAGGGCCUCGGAUUGGUCUCGGCCCGCUCUUCACCGGGCGGCGCCGGUGGUCGAGAAGACGCUCGAACUUGAUCGUUUAGAGGAAGUAAAAGUCGUAACA
rnacentral:rRNA from 1 species